GCCGAGAAAGUGUAGAGGUUAGCAUGCUAGCCUGUCACGCUGGCGACUCGGGUUCGAAUCCCGACCAAGGCG
rnacentral:tRNA from 1 species